CCAAGUAAUAAAAUAAAAGUGAUCUAACAACUUGAUCAUAUCGUCUAUAAAUUACGAUUUACAUUUCUAUAUAUCACGCAUCAUCAAAACGUAUUCGAUUGUUGGAUCAGUUCCUCUGCCAAUCAAAAACUAAGCGAUUAGUAUAUUGGGAGGGAGGGCGUGAGGAUAAUAUACGAGAUUAUUGAAUCAUGAGGAGUUGCAGCUUGGUAGUGGUGUGCAUGGCGUUGGUGUUGAUCUUGGGGAAUAUGCAAGCCGGUGCGGAACAUUUUAACGUGGAGGAGCAUCGGCUACGGCUUCUUGGUGCGGCAAACUAUCUUGGUCGAAAAGUUCUAGGCAGCAGCACUAGUGAUGAAGAUGAAGAUGAAGCUGAAGCUUCAGAAAAUGAUGUAAAUGAGAAUCAAGGUAACUACGGCCAAGGUUCUGCUCCGCCUGGUUCAUCCUCCGAUGGAAACACCCAUCGCGUUUUCCCCUGUGAAAAUCUAAACCAGUGCACCGGUGGGCGAAAGAACUGACCACCGUACUACCCAACUUUCUACCAUAUGUAGUAUGAAUUAUAUAUAUAGAUAACGUUACAAUUAUAUUGAAGGAGUGAAAUAUAAUUUUAUCAUUUUUUUUUUAA